UACGAAGGGGGCUAGCGUUGUUCGGAAUCACUGGGCGUAAAGCGCACGUAGGCGGACUUUCAAGUCAGGGGUGAAAUCCCGGGGCUCAACCUCGGAAUUGCCUUUGAUACUGUAGGUCUCGAGUCCGGAAGAGGUGGGUGGAAUUCCUAGUGUAGAGGUGAAAUUCGUAGAUAUUCGGAGGAACACCAGUGGCGAAGGCGGCUCACUGGCUCGACACUGACGCUGAGGUGCGAAAGCGUGGGGAGCAAACAGG
rnacentral:rRNA from 1 species